GACGAACCGUGCGAACGUUGUUCGGAUUCACUGGGCUUAAAGGGCGCGUAGGCGGUACGUCAAGUCUGUGGUGAAAUCUUUCGGCUCAACCGGAAAAUUGCCUGAGAUACUGGCGUGCUCGAGGGAGGUAGGGGCAGCGGGAACUGCCGGUGGAGCGGUGAAAUGCGUUGAUAUCGGCAGGAACGCCGGUGGCGAAAGCGCGUUGCUGGACCUCUUCUGACGCUGAUGCGCGAAAGCUAGGGGAGCAAACGGG
rnacentral:rRNA from 1 species